rnacentral:lncRNA from 1 species
CACCAGGAUUAAUAAUAUUAGUGUCUAUAGUUUAUGAAAUGUCAAGAUAAUUGAAGUUAUGCUAUUAUUCAUAAGUACUAAUACUUUAAAAUCUCAGCCACUGAUUUGACUGUGAGCAUAUGAAUGGCAUAUUUGGAAGAGAAGUUGAUAUUCAUAUUUUAAAAUGACUCCAAAUUUUUUAUUUUGGGAGAAAAGUAUUUACUACACAUAAUUAUUCUACACUUACUACUAAUCAAGUGUUCUAUAAUUACUUUAUGCAUUUAAAAGCUUGUGCAAAGGACCACACAUGAGAAGGAAUGGCAUAGGUUUUUCACUGAAUUGCUAGAUGGUCAGCCUAGAGGGUAAGAGGUAAUUGGAAUAAAACCUGUAAAUCAUAAAAGGCAUUGUAAUUUAAAUUAAAGAGUACAUACUUUACCUAAAGGCAAAGAAGAGCAGUUGAAAAGUUUUAAUUUAAAUAGAGUAACAGUUUCAGGUUAGAGUUUUAGGGACAUACAAGCAGAAUGUGCAGAAUAAAAUUGAAGAAAGAAAAUCCAAAGUAGGAAGAACAGUUAGGAUAUUGCAUUAAUGAGUGAGAACUGACUGGAUAGCGAUAUAAAGGUAAAGGGCAGAAGAACAAAACUAGAUCAUUCUCUUACACCAUACACAAAGAUAAACUCAAAAUGGAUGAAAGAUCUAAAUGUGAGACAAGAAUCCAUCAGAAUCCUAGAGGAGAACACAGGCAAAAGCCUUUUGUAACUUGACCACAGUAAUUUUUUGCAAGAUACAUCUAUGAAGGCAAAGGAAAUAAAAGCAAAAAUGAACUACUGGGACUUAAUCGGAAUAAAAAGCUUCUGCACAGUAUAAGAAACAGUCAACAAAACUAAAAGGCAACCUACAGAAUGGGAGAGGAUAUUUGCAAAUGACAUAUCAGAUAAAGAGCUAGCAUCCAAGAUCUAUAAUGAACUUAUUAAACUCAACAUCCAAGAAACAAACAAUCCAAUCAGGAAAUGGGCAGAAGACAUGAAUAGAAACUUCACCAAAGAAGACAUACCCAUGGCCAACAAGCAUAUGAGAAAAUGCUCCUCAUCACUUGCCAUCAGGGAAAUACAAAUCAAAAUCACCAUGAGAUACCACUUCACACCAGUGAGAAUGGCGAAAAUCAGCAAGACAGGAAACAACAAAUGUUGGCAAGGAUAUGGAGAAGGGGGAGCCCUCUUGUACUGUUGGUGGGAAUGCAAACUGGUACAGCCACUCUGGAAAACUGUGUGGAAGUUUCUCAAAGAGUUAAAAAUAGAGCUACCCAACAACCCAGCAAUUGCACUAUUCAUCCCAAAGAUACAGAUGCAGUAAAACACUAAGACACCUGCACCCCAAUGUUCAUAGCAGCAAUGUCCACAAUAGCCAAACUGUGGAAAGACCUUCGAUGUCCUUCAACAGAUGAAUGGAUAAAGAAGAUGUGGUAUAUGUAUACAAUGGAAUAUUACUCAGCCAUUAGAAACAACGAAUAGCCACCAUUUGCUCGACAUGGAUGGAACUGGAGGGUAUUAUGCUGAGUGAAGCAAGUAAAUUGGAGAACAAUCAUCAUAUGGUUUCACUCAUACAGGGAACAUAAGAAAUAGUGGUAGGGGUUAUAAGGGAAAAUGAGUGGGAAAAAUUAGAGAGGGUGACAAAACAUGAGAGACUCCUAACUCUGGGAAAUGAACAAAGGGUAGUGAGGGGAGGCAGGCGAGGGGAUGGGGUGACUGGGUGACAGGCACUGAGGAGGGAACUUGAUGGGAUGAUCACUGGGUGUGAUACUUAAGUUGGCAAAUUGAAGGAAGGAAAGGAUGGAAAGGAAGGGGGGAGAGGGGGAGAGGGGGAGGAGAAGGGAGAGGGACAGAAAGAAAGAGAGAGAGAGAGAAAGAAAAGAAAAGAAAAGAAAAGAGAAAGAAAGAAAGAGGAAAGAAAGAAAAAAGAAAGAAAAGAAAGAAAAGAAAAAGAAAAGAAAGAAAAAGAAAGAAAGAAAAGAAAGAAAAAGAAAAGAAGAAAAGAAAAGAAAGAAGAAAAGAAAAAAAGAAAAGAAAAGAAAAGAAAAGAAAAGAAAAGAAAAGAAAAGAAAAGAAAAGAAAAGAAAAGAAAAGAAAAGAAAAGAUCGAUCCGUGGCCAGGUUCCAUUUUAUGAAGCCCUACAGGAUCUAUUUCUCUGCAGCUGCAAAGGGGAUUUCCCUCACCUGCACUAAAAAAGGUCUGGGUUUUCAAGCCUUGAUGCUGGCAUUUCGCUAGUUGGUAACCACCAAUAGAAGCAGGCCUGAGAAUGAAAUGUUGACAUGGAGAAGGGAAAAGCAGAUUACUACUAAGAGACGUAUGAGUUGUCAGAAUAAAUUACCAGCUACUUUGAAGUGGAGGAAAGCAUACCAUGCGGCAGCCUCCACGUUACCUCAUCUGCGGAGUGGUGCAUCUUUGCUUGCCUUUAAAUCAUUAGGCUAUUUUACAGCUUGAUAGAGAUAGAAUGUAAGCGGCAGAUAUCAAUAAAAUGCAAAGGAUUCCAGGUGACAAGUGUGAAAACGAAGGUGGGGAAGAGUGAGCUGGCCUCAGUCGCCUUGUCAUCCUCCAAAGCUCAUCAGAUAGACAAGUGAGCUAUAUUUGAUAUAGCUCCAUGCAAGGAGCUUCCAGGCCUCUCUGUGAAAUUCUGUGGUUUGGAAAUUUAAGAGUCAGCAUCGAUAUAGGACUUUAAUCCAAAGCUGCCAAGUGAGGACUACAAUUGAAGACGAAUACUCUGAAGAAUCAGGAGACUCGGGCUCUACUAUCCAGCUGCCACUGCCACUCUUCACAAAUAAAAAUCAUUCAUUCAACAACAACAAGAAGAAUGGGAGAGAAGCACAGCAAAUUCUUGUAGACUUGCCCUGAGAAAGAUACUAAGAUUGGGGCUGCAGGUAAAAAGAGUGGUUCGGUUUCUGUGGGUUUUUCCUUUAAAUAUAAAAGGGAUUCUAGUCAAUAUGCCAUAUGCCAUAAUGUUUAAAAAAAAAAAAAAAAA